rnacentral:rRNA from 1 species
AGAGUUUGAUCCUGGCUCAGGACGAACGCUGGCGGCACGCUUAACACAUGCAAGUCGAACGAGAGAAGAGGAGCUUGCUUUUCUGAUCUAGUGGCGGACGGGUGAGUAACACGUGAGCAAUCUGCCUUUCAGAGGGGGAUACCGAUUGGAAACGAUCGUUAAUACCGCAUAACAUAAUUGAACCGCAUGAUUUGAUUAUCAAAGAUUUAUCGCUGAAAGAUGAGCUCGCGUCUGAUUAGCUAGUUGGUAAGGUAACGGCUUACCAAGGCGACGAUCAGUAGCCGGACUGAGAGGUUGAUCGGCCACAUUGGGACUGAGACACGGCCCAGACUCCUACGGGAGGCAGCAGUGGGGAAUAUUGCACAAUGGAGGAAACUCUGAUGCAGCGAUGCCGCGUGAGGGAAGAAGGUUUUAGGAUUGUAAACCUCUGUCUUCAGGGACGAAAAAAGACGGUACCUGAGGAGGAAGCUCCGGCUAACUACGUGCCAGCAGCCGCGGUAAUACGUAGGGAGCGAGCGUUGUCCGGAAUUACUGGGUGUAAAGGGAGCGUAGGCGGGAUCGCAAGUCAGAUGUGAAAACUAUGGGCUUAACCCAUAAACUGCAUUUGAAACUGUGGUUCUUGAGUGAAGUAGAGGUAAGCGGAAUUCCUAGUGUAGCGGUGAAAUGCGUAGAUAUUAGGAGGAACAUCAGUGGCGAAGGCGGCUUACUGGGCUUUAACUGACGCUGAGGCUCGAAAGCGUGGGGAGCAAACAGGAUUAGAUACCCUGGUAGUCCACGCCGUAAACGAUGAUUACUAGGUGUGGGGGGACUGACCCCUUCCGUGCCGCAGCAAACGCAAUAAGUAAUCCACCUGGGGAGUACGACCGCAAGGUUGAAACUCAAAGGAAUUGACGGGGGCCCGCACAAGCAGUGGAGUAUGUGGAUUAAUUCGAAGCAACGCGAAGAACCUUACCAGGUCUUGACAUCGUAUGCAUAGCUCAGAGAUGAGUGAAAUCUCUUCGGAGACAUAUAGACAGGUGGUGCAUGGUUGUCGUCAGCUCGUGUCGUGAGAUGUUGGGUUAAGUCCCGCAACGAGCGCAACCCUUACUGUUAGUUGCUACGCAAGAGCACUCUAGCAGGACUGCCGUUGACAAAACGGAGGAAGGUGGGGAUGACGUCAAAUCAUCAUGCCCCUUAUGACCUGGGCCUCACACGUACUACAAUGGCUGUCAACAGAGGGAAGCAAAGCCGCGAGGUGGAGCGAACCCCUAAAAGCAGUCUUAGUUCGGAUUGUAGGCUGCAACCCGCCUACAUGAAGUCGGAAUUGCUAGUAGUCGCAGAUCAGCAUGCUGCGGUGAAUACGUUCCCGGGCCUUGUACACACCGCCCGUCACGCCAUGGGAGUCGGUAACACCCGAAGCCUGUAGUCUAACCGCAAGGAGGACGCAGUCGAAGGUGGGAUUGAUGACUGGGGUGAAGUCGUAACAAGGUA